UUUGAAUCCAGGUUUAGAAAAUGUAAAAAUAAUGUGAUAUUUGGGUUAAAGAUACAUUUUUUACUCAUAACUUCUUAUUCGUUUAUGUUCUUUAGUGGUGGUUUGAUUCUUUCUAGAUGUUUCUUGAUAUUUUAAGUGUACUUUUGCCUCCCUUUGUGUUUGUUUUGCAUCACUCUGUGCACCUAUUGCGUCUUUUUGUGCCUUUCUUUCACUUUUCUACUAGGCAAAUAUGUUCUUUGUGGUGAUUUGGAGUCAUUAGAUCACAACUACUACAUCUCUUUGGUGCUUUGUGUUUCUUUGAAUCUUUAUUUGAUUUUCUGUAGUUGUUCUACAUCUCAUUGCAGUUAUUUUGAUAGUUUUCAAGUUGCAUUUCUGUAAUUAUGUGGUUUUGAUCAUUUUAUAGUUUUUUUUUUUAUAUAUCUCUUGCUUUUUUUUUUUUUUUUUUUAGUGUUUCUGAUGCUUUGAGUAAUAGUUUGGCAUCUUUUUCUGUCUGUACACUUUAUAAAUCUCUUUCUGGAGAUUUUGCUUCUCUUGCUUAUUUUUUUGAUAGAUUUUUGAGUGCUAAUACUCACUGAUACUGUACUGUACUGAUAGUCACUAGAGUCCCAUUGGUUGUUUUGACUCGUGUGUGUGUGUGUGCGCAUUCAUGAACUUUGCCAAGAUAAUCUACCUAUCUCUUAUUUUGGAUUUCCAUUCAUUUCUGUGGCCACAAAUGGUCCUGACCACUGUUGCUUAAAUUGCUGGACAGAUUACUUCCCAUGUACACGUUUCCAUAUGUUGUGCCUUUGCCUCUGGACAUUAGCUCGGGAAGCAUCUGGUGUUGACUCCCUCAGCAGCUCCACUCGUAUACAGGCUCAGCAGCAGGAGCAGCCCAGAGUCUCUUCCCUCUUCCUCCCUUCCUCACUCUAGCUCGUCAGCUCCCCCGUCUCCAUGGAUAAACACAGGAAUAAUUCACCAGCACUCUUGCAGUGAAAUAUGAAACCAUCUCUGGUGCCACAGUGCCUGCAGGCCCAGACCAGCUGGAACAUUCUGUAAGAGGAAAAGAUGAGAUCUUCAGCUUCCAUGAAGAUGUGCCAAAGAUUUCCUCCUUUUUCUCCAAGAGACGGUCUUUGAG
ensembl:lncRNA